CGAGGGGGGCAAAUGUUGUUCGGAAUCACUGGGCGUAAAGGGAGCGUAGGCGGGCUCUUAAGUUAGGUGUUUAAUCCCGGGGCCCAACCCCGGACAGGCACCUAAAACUGGGAGUCUUGAAUAGUGGAGAGGACGGCGGAAUUGGGGGUGUAGCGGUGGAAUGCGUAGAGAUCCCCAAGAACACCAGUUGCGAAGGCGGCCGUCUGGACACAUAUUGACGCUGAGGCUCGAAAGCAUGGGGAGCAAACAGGAUUAGAUACCCUGGUAGUCCAUGCUAUAAACGAUGAAUACUAGGUUUUGGGCCCGUCAACGGUCCAGAGCCGCAGCUAACGCGUUAAGUAUUCCGCCUGGGGAGUACGCUCGCAAGAGUG
rnacentral:rRNA from 1 species